rnacentral:rRNA from 1 species
AUUGAACGCUGGCGGCAGGUCUAACACAUGCAAGUCGAACGGUAACAGGAAGAAGCUUGCUUCUUUGCUGACGAGUGGCGGACGGGUGAGUAAUGUCUGGGAAACUGCCUGAUGGAGGGGGAUAACUACUGGAAACGGUAGCUAAUACCGCAUAACGUCGCAAGACCAAAGAGGGGGACCUUCGGGCCUCUUGCCAUCGGAUGUGCCCAGAUGGGAUUAGCUAGUAGGUGGGGUAACGGCUCACCUAGGCAACGAUCCCUAGCUGGCCUGAGAGGAUGACCAGCCACACUGGAACUGAGACACGGUCCAGACUCCUACGGGAGGCAGCAGUGGGGAAUAUUGCACAAUGGGCGCAAGCCUGAUGCAGCCAUGCCGCGUGUAUGAAGAAGGCCUUCGGGUUGUAAAGUACUUUCAGCGGGGAGGAAGGGAGUAAAGUUAAUACCUUUGCUCAUUGACGUUACCCGCAGAAGAAGCACCGGCUAACUCCGUG